GACGAACCACACAAACGUUAUUCGGAAUUACUGGGCUUAAAGGGUGCGUAGGCGGCGCGGAAAGUUGGGUGUGAAAUCCCUCGGCUCAACCGAGGAACUGCGCCCAAAACUACCGUGCUCGAGGGAGAUAGAGGUGAGCGGAACUUAGGGUGGAGCGGUGAAAUGCGUUGAUAUCCUAAGGAACACCCGUGGCGAAAGCGGCUCACUGGGUCUUCUCUGACGCUGAGGCACGAAAGCUAGGGGAGCAAACAGG
rnacentral:rRNA from 1 species